rnacentral:tRNA from 1 species
ACCUGGCUGGCUCAGUGGGUGGAGCAUGCGACUCUUAAUCUCAGGAUUGUGAGUUCAAGCCCUACGUUGGGUA